AAUUUCAUUUUUUCUAUUUUCUUCCAACCCGUCCGUUUGCCACUUAGCAAUGGGUCUUCCAGGUCAGGACAAAAUCGCCUUAUCACCGUCUCGCAGGGACACGCCACACGCGUCCGUGAACCCAUGCCCCUUCACCUUAUCUCUUACUCCAGCCCGCUACUUCCCUCACUUCAUUUCCUGUUCUCCUGGAUCCCCUUUCUCGUCUAGCUCGCUGGGGAAGCCAGUCGCCGUUGCAACACCAGCCUCAGGAAUCGGCGGGAUACGCUAGCCCUCAGUCCAGAUCAACGUCCAUGCCUCCGGCUUCGACACGCAGGCCCGCUGGACGCCGCCGUGAACCACCUUGUUUUUCCGCAGCCUCUUGGACCGAGGCCACCUUCGUCGGUUCCGCCGGCCGCCACUGCGACGCCGCGGUCAUCCUUCUCACCGAACAGCUCUAGAGACUAUGACGGGCUCCGUGUUGUCCGCAUCUCCUCUGGACAAUGGAUUCAAAGCCGCAGGUCCAUCCUACUUCUUCCCUGACGUUGACCGCCAUUGUCACUGUCCGGAGCUCGUUGCUCUGCUCCGUCCGACCUUGCCACUUACAGCAUGGGUUUCUUCAUCGUUUCAAUAGAGUCAGGCAAUGAGGGGAAUUACGAGUUCGAUCCGCAGCUUCAUCAGGACAUUGACCAGGAAGGCAAGCAUCAUGAAUUCCCUAGCUUAUGUUUUACUUAUGUUGAAGGAUUAUACUAUCUUGUUGCUCGUGUUGGUUACCAUGUCGUACCUUUCUUUGCAAUAUCCAUGUUUAGGACACGCAACAGGAACCGGUAGUUUAACCAGAGAAGGAACUUCAUUCUCUCACACUUGAUAUGAUAGCAUUUAUCAGAUCAGGUUAUAGAAGCAAAUAUUAAGUACCAUCAGACUAAUGUCUGAUUCUCUCUGAAUUACACUGCCUAUCCACUAUUAUUGUUGUCCAUGUGGAGUAGGGCUUGUAAAUAAACAUAUAUACUGUUGUAGUCAAGUUAACUUGAAUUAGCUAGGAUGAAUCGGACACUUUUGCAAUUUCCAUAAAUAGAUCAACAGGUUAGUCAUCCGCAUGAGACGACCGAUCUAUUCUUGUUAACAAUGAAACAAAUAUCGAUUUCAAUCACGAAGAAUAACUACACUUCUGUGUUUGUCUCAGAAGUAAAACUUUUCUAUUUUGACCAUGUCUCUAGGAAAAACAUUGACCGAAAACUAAAAUAAUACUGUGCUAUUGGUCAAGGUAUGCCUGGAAGUGGGCGAGCCAGCUUGAUCUGGUGAUGAUUCACCUGAAGAAUUGACCUGCCGGCACGAUGUGUAGAGGGGAGGGAGCUGAUCUUGCGGGUGAGGAAGCAGAUCUUGCAAUCGAACUCAUCUUUCCGACGCAGAUGAACACUGACGAUGGAAUGGAAAAGAGAGGGUGGGUGAGAGAAUGCUGGUGCACAGAGCGGAGAAGAAAGGGAUGGAUAAGGUCACGUCUUUAGCAAUUGAGCAAGUGGAACAACCUCGCCUCGUCCAAUAUCCCGUGCCGGCCCAGUAUAUACCAGAGCUUAUGAUUUUUCCUCUUCUGUAAGCCCAGAACACAAUAUAAAUAUGAAUUGGAACAACCAAAUUGUAUUAACAGAAGAAAUCAUGACGCUUACAAAGGUAUAUAAAAUGCACUAAUAAACAGGAUAGUAAAGUUUAGUCGGAUUUUUUAGAACAUAAAUUUUCAUUGUUAUUAAGUGUUAGUGACGGCUUCUGAAUGAAAGAACAAUAUUAGCAUGUUUGGAUUAAAAGUGGAACAUGUAAUCACAUUACAUGGGAAAACUGUGAUAUAGAACCUCACAACGAUAAUCUUGCUCAUAUGUUUCAAUCAGUACAAAAUAUGUACCUGAAAUAGAUUAACUUUGAUCAUUUCCUUUCUCUCCAAUGUUGUGCUCCUCUUAGCUAAAGUAAGUGCAUGCAACUAUGUAUAACCUCUUAAGUUACAAAAGAAUCUGCAUUUGAAUAAUCCAGUGGUUAUAUUCAACUUAAACUGGGACUUGUAUGCAUGAUAUUUUGUAAGAAUAUCUAUGAGAUAGAACUGAACAAUUAUAUUAGCAACUGGGUGACAUAGUCGAUUGUAUCCCUGGAAAAUAUAUUAUGAUCUCUGAACUACAGUAGCGUGCAAACAAUUGACAACCAACGAAGGAAGCGGACGCUGACAGAAAUGACAAACCCAAGUCAGCGAAGGAUGACAGUCGGACAUAUAUCUCAUCCCUGCUGUAGCUCAUCUAUGUUUAUUCAGAAGUGACGACAUAUUUAUAUAUAUGUUGUGCGCCCAACUCUGUCUCAAGCAUUGCCCACUGCUGAACCUACACAUGAAAAGCUAACAAAUGUUCUUAUUCUUGUUCUGCCUCAUGCAACAGACCCGAUCAACCUACAGCUCAGUAUGUAAUUUACGAAAAGAAAAUAUAGGGAAUGAUGGGGGAAGAACAACCUGGUGAACAACUUGAAUUGAAACUUUAAUUCAUUAUAGGACUGCAGUUUCAUAACACGUCAGUACCUUAUUGGGCAUUACAGUGUUCCUGUGCAAAACAUAGUAAUAAAGAAAAUUAUGAGCGAGAUGUGUGCCACGUUGCUAAUCACAGACAUUGAAUGGAGUUGGAACCAAACCUUUUAGUCUGCUAGUAGAUACAGUGGGUCAACAGUUCUGAUUCUUUUUCUUCAUCUCCCUUUGAAGCAUUAGCAGAAGACUCAGAAAUAGAACCAUAUUUUCUCAGUGCUUUGAACCCCGGUUUCAGAAUGAUUCUCAAAAUAUAAAUGUCUGUAGACCAAGAACAAAACAAACAACAAACAUUUCAGUAUUGACGGAGGCUUCUCUACGUAAAUCAGGACAAUCCAAAUCAAAUGUAUAGGGAAAUAAUAGAAAGAACAAACUCUGUGGCUACUGUUUUAAUGCACAAUAAGCCAUAUCUUCUAUAAAAGUGUCCCGAUACAGUUGGUAAUGAACGAUUGGUAACCUUCCUAUUUUUAGGAGAUAUCAACAAUCAGGUUCUACAGAAGACUUGUGUACACCUAAUUACAGGAGGUACCUAGUGAGCUACAAAAUUCAGAUAAGUUAAUGAAAAAUCUUCUAGUCCAGAAUACAAUUAACUGAUAAAACCUAUACAUAACAGCCAAUUUAUUACUUUCUUUUAUGACCAAAGAAGCAUAUGGGAAUACUAAACUCAUAAUUUAAUUAAUGAAUAAUCUUCUAAUCCUGAUUAACUUAAUUGAAGCUUCCAAGGCUAUCGAUAAAUUGCCAAGAGAUCAACACAGCCACCCAAAAAUAAUCUGCAAACAAACUAAAUAGGCAAAAACCGGAUAGUGAAUUUUAAAUACAUUUGAUGGGAAGAACCUCAUGGAUACCUUUUAUCAUUGCAACAUGUAGUAUUCACAUCAAAUGUCAAAUGAAAUCUAUGAUAGACGCAUCUGGACCAUAUUGAUUAUCAAAGGGGUAAGCACACACACACACACACACACACACACACCAAUGAUCUACAAAUGCAUUAUCAACAACCUGGAAGUGGCCAUCAUUGAUAACAUUCUAAUCUUGAAAAAUGAACUGAUAAGCUUAUAAACAUACAAAUAGUCUGACAAGUCAUUCCGUUGUAACAAUCUAUAGACAUCAGGAGAACAUCAAGCAAGGCCACCCAAAGAGGCAAAACAUCAAGCAUUUUAAUGCUAUCUAUGCUGCAAGAACUGAAUCAAAUUAAACAUUGAUAUAUUGCUAGAUUACAGGAGAGGGACAUAGAGGCUUAAACCUGUACGGUGUCAAUGACAAUGGAGAGGAAUGGAAUAGCAUCUAACCAUGUGAGUGGGAAUUUUAGAGAGGUACGAUAAAAUGCUAGAAACAUGGAUUGUCCACAUCAGUAAUUCUUCCAAAGAAAACACUAAGAUCAAGGAUUGUUUAGCCUUAAUUUAGGCUAAUCUUUUAUGAAUUAUGAUCACUUAUGAGGUCGAGAUGCUAACACUUAUAAGCCAGAUAAGUCAGCUUAUCGUAUAGUUAUUAGACAUAAUCACAAAAAAUGGGAACAAAAAGAUUGUCAUUUAAACAGAACCAUCAUAGAAGUAGCAAAGGAAGACUCACAAAAGACUUAAGAGGGAGCAUGGAUGUUACUUAAAUGCAUUCAAGAUCUAACAUCUGAGCAGGACCAUAAAACUGAACUUUAUAUAUACUCUGCUCUGCACACAGGAUAACUAUAUAUCUCAUUGAAGGCUAUACUGGCAGAUGGCACACAAAUAAGCAAUAAUCAAAUAAAAAUCCAACGGUCAUCACUGAUCAAAGUGUGCUAUAGAUAGAUGUUUGAUUAAUUUGUAAUCAAUCAAGAAGCUUCUUGCUAAUAGGACUAUGCACUUCUUUCUGACACUCAAUUACACAUGUGAUGUGUUCAUGUAAGUUUGGACACGGUGAAGCAUUUAUACAUAAUUUAAGCGAUUCACAAUGAAGCCCUGGAAUAAAAACUUAAAGAAUAAUGAGGUAUAGCAUGAGAUGAUUACAAAGGUACAUUAUGUUCGAGUUGGCAAGAGAAAAACAUUAUAAACAUAACCUGCUCUAGAAAUAAAAUAUGGAGGAAGCUCUCCAAGUGCGGUCCCAAUGCCCCAAGGAACAACUUGAAGAUGAACUUCAUGGAGUAUUUUGCUAAAUGGUUCGGAUUGUUUCCUGGUACACUGGAGAUCCAAACUCUGGACAGUCUUUCUCCAACCAUGAAGGCCUACUUUUAAAAAGAAUAAUGUCAUAAGGAGCACUCUUUAAAUCAACCCGGCC